CCUACGGGGGACAGCAGUAGGGAAUUUUGCGCAAUGGGCGAAAGCCUGACGCAGCAACGCCGCGUGAUCGAGACGCCCUUCGGGGUGUAAAGAUCUGUCAGUGGGGGCGAAACUUGACGGUACCCACAGAGGAAGCACCGGCUAACGCCGUGCCAAGAGGCGCGGUAAUACGGGGGGUGCAAGCGUUGUCCGGAAUCAUUGGGCGUAAAGGGUUCGUAGGCGGGACGUAAAGUCUGGUGUUAAAGUCAGAGGCUCAAACUCUGUACCGCCCUGGAUACUUGCGAGCUUGAAUGGGGUAGAGGUACAGGGAAUUCCUGGUGUAGCGGUGAAAUGCUUAGAUAUCAGGAGGAACAUCGGUGGCGUAAGCGCUUUACUGGGCCGUAAUUGACGCUGAGGAACGAAAGCCAGGGUAGCAAAUGGGAUUAGAUACCCUUGUAGUC
rnacentral:rRNA from 1 species